rnacentral:rRNA from 1 species
UACGGAGGGGGCUAGCGUUGUUCGGAAUUACUGGGCGUAAAGCGCACGUAGGCGGCUUUGUAAGUUAGAGGUGAAAGCCCAGGGCUUAACCCUGGAAUUGCCUUUAAGACUGCAUCGCUAGAAUCGUGGAGAGGUGAGUGGAAUUCCGAGUGUAGAGGUGAAAUUCGUAGAUAUUCGGAAGAACACCAGUGGCGAAGGCGACUCACUGGACACGUAUUGACGCUGAGGUGCGAAAGCGUGG